rnacentral:lncRNA from 1 species
GAGUCCAGCUGCACCACAGGCAGACACUUAUCUGGUCUGCCUCUCUGGGAAAGGGGUCUAGCCAACUCUGAAGGGGAUGUCUACUCGGUAGCUAAGCUUUGGUGGAGGGACCCCAAACAACCACCCUGUGUCCCAUGUGAUGAGGGGCUGCAUGGGGUCAGGAUCUGCGGGCAGAGGACAGGAAUCAGGGCCUAUACUAGGGGCACCUGAUGGCCCCUGUCCAUGCCCUGCCCUGUUACCCUCGCACCUGGCCUUGCAGGGACGGAGCACUUUCCCAAGGUCUUGGAAACCCUAAAGCAAGUUGCUGGUGUCUGAGAUGAUUUCCAAGCACUUUUCGAGCCGGGCAGCUGGCUGGGCCUCAUACCUCUUCCAACUCCUCUCUAAAGCCAAUCUCCAACCCUCGCCCAUCCCAGGCCUGGGUGGGGUCAAGGACAAGAGGUAGAAGUGGAGAGAGGAGACUAAAGAGGGGCCUGGGCAAUGAAGAGGUGAGCCCAAGGUCAACAGGAGCAAGGUGGGGCCGAGAGAGAUGGAGGGGGCAAGGGGACACAGAGAGCUCCCUACCUAGGAGGAGUGGCAGGUCCUGUGGGGUCAGUGGGGCCUGACUCCAGACCCCUCCACCCCAGGGGAAUAGGUGGCAUGGCCCCUGGCCCCAAGCCACCCCUGCUAGCAUUCCUCAAGUGAGAGUCAGUGCCGGGGGGUAGUCAUACCUGAUGACCACAAUGACACCAUCGAAGAUGUUGUAGGGAUUCUUGAUGUAGCCAAAGGGACCAUACACAAGCAGCUUCAGCAGCAUCUCCAGGGCAAAG